GGGGGGCCAGCAUGCUGGCAGCCUUUCAGAUGGGGAAACUGAGGGCCCAGAGAGGGGAGCACUUGCUCAAGGCCCCGCGGGAGCCAAGUGUGCCCGGCGGAGGCGGUGUGAAAGGAGACGGCGGUCACACGGACCUGGCUGGGAUCCCGGUCCCCUCACCUCCCGCUGUGUGUCCUCGGGCAGGUCACCCACCCUCUCUGAACCUCAGUGGAUACGAGUGUUGAUCACUGAAGCCACUGCUCAGUUUCCGGUAGAGUUUAUGCCCCAUGAGAGCGGAGACACGUCUGUCACUCGCCUCAGCGCCCCCAGAGCCUGGCGCAGGGCGGGACACAGAGAAGAGCGCCUUCCUGGCGAUGGGCACACGCUGCCUGUCCUCAGACCCCGGCCCGCAGCAGUCCCGCGUCAGCCCCACCCUGCUCCCCUCCCGGCCGCCCUUCCUGCAGGACGCCCACCCGCCCCCGGCCUGGAGGGGCUCCUGCUCCGCGCCCCGCGUGCCGUCUGACCGCACCCCAGCCCGCAGGCCCCUUUCUGGGUCCCGCCGCUCCUUGGCGUCCCUCCCUCCUGCCGAGCCCCCGCUCCGCGCUCCGCUGUUCACAAGACAACCAGGACGGUGUUUAUUUCUCUUUUGUCUCCCUUCCUCCCCAGAAGGGAAACGCGCUUCCAGUCUUCCAGGAAAACAGGAAAGCUCCGGAUGAGAAA